CAUAGGUUAAUGAGGCGAACCGGGGGAACUGAAACAUCUAAGUACCCCGAGGAAAAGAAAUCAACCGAGAUUCCCCCAGUAGCGGCGAGCGAACGGGGAGGAGCCCAGAGCCUGAAUCAGUGUGUGUGUUAGUGGAAGCGUCUGGAAAGGCGUGCGAUACAGGGUGACAGCCCCGUACACAAAAAUGCACAUAUUGUGAGCUCGAUGAGUAGGGCGGGACACGUGGUAUCCUGUCUGAAUAUGGGGGGACCAUCCUCCAAGGCUAAAUACUCCUGACUGACCGAUAGUGAACCAGUACCGUGAGGGAAAGGCGAAAAGAACCCCGGCGAGGGGAGUGAAAAAGAACCUGAAACCGUGUACGUACAAGCAGUGGGAGCCUCUUAAUGGGGUGACUGCGUACCUUUUGUAUAAUGGGUCAGCGACUUAUAUUCUGUAGCAAGGUUAACCGAAUAGGGGAGCCGAAGGGAAACCGAGUCUUAACUGGGCGUUAAGUUGCAGGGUAUAGACCCGAAACCCGGUGAUCUAGCCAUGGGCAGGUUGAAGGUUGGGUAACACUAACUGGAGGACCGAACCGACUAAUGUUGAAAAAUUAGCGGAUGACUUGUGGCUGGGGGUGAAAGGCCAAUCAAACCGGGAGAUAGCUGGUUCUCCCCGAAAGCUAUUUAGGUAGCGCCUCGUGAAUUCAUCUCCGGGGGUAGAGCACUGUUUCGGCAAGGGGGUCAUCCCGACUUACCAACCCGAUGCAAACUGCGAAUACCGGAGAAUGUUAUCACGGGAGACACACGGCGGGUGCUAACGUCCGUCGUGAAGAGGGAAACAACCCAGACCGCCAGCUAAGGUCCCAAAGUCAUGGUUAAGUGGGAAACGAUGUGGGAAGGCCCAGACAGCCAGGAUGUUGGCUUAGAAGCAGCCAUCAUUUAAAGAAAGCGUAAUAGCUCACUGGUCGAGUCGGCCUGCGCGGAAGAUGUAACGGGGCUAAACCAUGCACCGAAGCUGCGGCAGCGACGCUUAUGCGUUGUUGGGUAGGGGAGCGUUCUGUAAGCCUGUGAAGGUGUGCUGUGAGGCAUGCUGGAGGUAUCAGAAGUGCGAAUGCUGACAUAAGUAACGAUAAAGCGGGUGAAAAGCCCGCUCGCCGGAAGACCAAGGGUUCCUGUCCAACGUUAAUCGGGGCAGGGUGAGUCGACCCCUAAGGCGAGGCCGAAAGGCGUAGUCGAUGGGAAACAGGUUAAUAUUCCUGUACUUGGUGUUACUGCGAAGGGGGGACGGAGAAGGCUAUGUUGGCCGGGCGACGGUUGUCCCGGUUUAAGCGUGUAGGCUGGUUUUCCAGGCAAAUCCGGAAAACCAAGGCUGAGGCGUGAUGACGAGGCACUACGGUGCUGAAGCGACAAAUGCCCUGCUUCCAGGAAAAGCCUCUAAGCAUCAGGUAACAUCAAAUCGUACCCCAAACCGACACAGGUGGUCAGGUAGAGAAUACCAAGGCGCUUGAGAGAACUCGGGUGAAGGAACUAGGCAAAAUGGUGCCGUAACUUCGGGAGAAGGCACGCUGAUAUGUAGGUGAAGCGACUUGCUCGUGGAGCUGAAAUCAGUCGAAGAUACCAGCUGGCUGCAACUGUUUAUUAAAAACACAGCACUGUGCAAACACGAAAGUGGACGUAUACGGUGUGACGCCUGCCCGGUGCCGGAAGGUUAAUUGAUGGGGUUAGCGGUAACGCGAAGCUCUUGAUCGAAGCCCCGGUAAACGGCGGCCGUAACUAUAACGGUCCUAAGGUAGCGAAAUUCCUUGUCGGGUAAGUUCCGACCUGCACGAAUGGCGUAAUGAUGGCCAGGCUGUCUCCACCCGAGACUCAGUGAAAUUGAACUCGCUGUGAAGAUGCAGUGUACCCGCGGCAAGACGGAAAGACCCCGUGAACCUUUACUAUAGCUUGACACUGAACAUUGAGCCUUGAUGUGUAGGAUAGGUGGGAGGCUUUGAAGUGUGGACGCCAGUCUGCAUGGAGCCGACCUUGAAAUACCACCCUUUAAUGU
rnacentral:rRNA from 1 species